UGGGGAAUAUUGGACAAUGGGCGAAAGCCUGAUCCAGCAAUGCCGCGUGAGUGAUGAAGGCCCUAGGGUUGUAAAGCUCUUUUACCCGGGAUGAUAAUGACAGUACCGGGAGAAUAAGCCCCGGCUAACUCCGUGCCAGCAGCCGCGGUAAUACGGAGGGGGCCUAGCGUUGUUCGGAAUUACUGGGCGUAAAGCGCACGUAGGCGGCUUUGUAAGUUAGAGGUGAAAGCCUGGAGCUUAACUCCAGAACUGCCUUUAAGACUGCAUCGCUUGAAUCCGGGAGAGGUGAGUGGAAUUCCGAGUGUAGAGGUGAAUUCGUAGAUAUUCGGAAGAACACCAGUGGCGAAGGCGGCUCACUGGACCGGUAUUGACGCUGAGGU
rnacentral:rRNA from 1 species